rfam:Dipodomys ordii contig_22256, whole genome shotgun sequence.
UGGAAUGUGGCUUAGUGGUAGAGUACUUGCCUGACAUGCAUGAAGCCUUGGGUUCAAUUCCUCAGCACCACAA